AUACUAAAAUUCGGCAGCACAUAUACUAAAAUUGAAACGAUACAGAGAAGAUUAGCAUGGCCCCUGCACAGUUAAAAAAGUGCAUUUAAAAUUCAGCUAGAUUGGG